rnacentral:lncRNA from 1 species
AAGCAGCCUGAAUCCCAUCACAGUAAAUUUUAUUGAAUGCAAAAUGUCAAGGAAAAUAUAUCAUAGGUUCAAUACUUCCUUAUAUCAAUAUCUAAAGUUGUGUUACAACCAUACAGACCUUUAAGAUCUCAAAUGAUGAUUUCAUUACAACUUUUGCAGAAUCCUAGAGAAAAUAAGUGACCUUCCCAAGGACACUCAAUGAAUUAGCUGGAAUUCUAACACUCUUCUUUGGUCAAUUAAUCCCACAGGCUCUGGACACUGUAUAUGUAUAUGUACUCUGUAUAUGGAGCAAAUGGACACUGACUGAUUGUACCUGGUACUCAUCUUUUAAAGCUCAUACUUUAUGAAUCUUUGUAGCAGCCAUUCCUCUUAGUCAAGCUGCUCCUUAUUUAGCUAAAUCCUUCAUUUCUUCUUAUGACCUACACAUAUCUUUUACCUUUAAGAGCUCUCCUUUUCUACCUUCUUCUUUUUCCUUUUCUGUAUCUUGUAUAAAACUUACCUUCACUCACUUUGCUUAUAAUCUCACUGGAAUUGCUCCCAAUUGUCAGUGCACAGUCCUGACAAAUCCCAUAAUGUCUUCAUUCAGGAUUCUUAGAAGGAUUUUACUUUUGAUUUUGAAAGCUGAUACAUGUGCAUUCAUAUCUGGUGUUUCUUAUUUCAAUUAUUUUUGAGCUGCUAUCAAAGAUUUAGUGUUGACUGUGGAAACUUUAUCUCUCUUGUCUGACACUUUGAAGACAAAUUCCUUCAUCCUGGAUCAUCCUAGGGAACCACACUAUUAAGCCCUGGAUGGAAUGCUAGAUAUUACUUGACAGCUUUGUUUGCUAGUGGUAGCCCUUUGAGGGCAUACAGAUGUGGGGGGAUAAACACAUAAAAUGACUGAAGGAGAAAGUAAUUAAAUUUUUGACGCUAUUUAGGCAAAGGAAGUUGUUACAUUAAGCUGGUGCAGGUGGUUAAGUAUCAGCCUCUUUCGUUCUAAGUUGGUGAAACACAUUCUCCCAGAAAUAUUGGAGAGACAAUCACUCUUCUUCACCUCAGCUUCUGCAGGGAAAUGAAGUCAUUUCCUACAUCCUAUAGGUUUAUAAUGUCUUGGCUCCCAAUAUAGGCUAAUUGCUCCAAAAGAAAGUUCAUCUUUGAGAUUCUGAGUUAAUGUUUCUAGAAAAGUCAAUGUCAAAAAAGUUUAUAGGGAAGAGUUCUGCUUCUGGCUAUGUCAGACUAGCUUAUAUCAUAGCAACCCUCCCAUUGAAUAAAAGUAUGAAAGCUGAAUAAAGAAAAUGUUUAAAAGCAUCCUAGAGCUUCCAAAAACUUUCUGUGCUUGAGGGGCUAUGAUGCAGAAGAGAAGAAAAGCACAGAAAGAGCCUGACAUUUGGCUAAACAUUUCUCCUGAGCCAUUUGCUGACUUAUAAGCAAUGUCUGGAAUGAAGAGAAGCUAAGUAGAGCUUUUAGUAGGCUCACAAGGCUGAUGAGACAAAAAUUUAGGCUUAAAGCCCACCAAAAAGGAGAGCUGAUAAAAAACUCUAGGCUUUUAAUGCCCCCCAUCAAGCCUUAAGCUUUGGGGGCAAACAAGAAAUAUAUCGCUCUCAUAAAAACUGAAACCAAGAUUUGAGUCAUCUAAGUCCCUAAUCAGAUUAAAGUGAUUGUCCUCUAACCUAAUUGCCUGACAGAAGCUGAAGUAUAUUCUCUCUAGAAGGAAGGUGACAUCAUCCAGAGCCUCAAAUUAUCUCUAUAAUUUUUCAAAAACAAUGCCUGGAAUUUAAUUUUAAAAUUACUAGGAAAAAUAUAACUAAGUCUUUUGAACUUAAGUUAUGCAAAUACUGCUUAGCUGUGAUAUCAAAAGCACAACCCAUCAAAGAAAAAAUCGAUUUAUUAGACUUGCUCAAAACUGAGACCUCCUGCUCUUUGAAAGAUACAGUUAACAGAAUGAAGAGAAGCUGUACAAUAAGGGAAAAUAUUUGUAAAUCAAAUUUCUGAUUAAAAAACUUGUAUCCAGAAUAUGUAAAGAAAUUUCAAAACUCAGCAAUAAGAAAACAAACUAUCCAAUUAAAAAAAGGGCAUAAGAUUUUCAAGUAGACCUCAUAAAUGACAACAUAUAUAGAUGAUAACUAAGCACAUGAAAAUACUCAACAUCAUUAGUCAUUAGGGAAAUAAGUUAAAAUUACAAUGAGAUACCAUAUGCUCUAGUUACAAUGGGAAAAAAAAAAACCCAAAACCAAAUUCUUCCAAACAUGUAUGAAACUAUUAAUACUCAUAUAUUGCUGGUAGAGAUAAAAAGUGGUACAUCCACUUGAGGAAAUAAGAGGUUUGCAAUGUCUUUUGAAAUUAUACAUACUUAGAAUAAGAUCUAGCAAUCCUACUCCUAUUUAUUUUCUCAAAUCAAAUGAAAAUUUGUGUUCACACAAAAACCUGUAUGUGAAUGUUUAUAGUGGCUUUAUUUGUAAUCACCAAAAACUAAAAACAACCAAAUAUCCUUCAACUGGGGAAUGGGUAAAUAAACUAUAGUACAAUGGAAUGCUAACCAGCAUUAAAAAAGAACAAUCUAUUCAUAUGCACAACAUGGCUAACUCUCAAAUACACUAUGUUAAGGUAAAGAAGCCAGUCUCAAAAGGCUUCAUGCCAUGUGAUUCUAUGACAUUCUGGAAAAGGCAGAACUAUAGGGGCAGAAAUUAGACCAGUUGUGAUGAAGAAAGGGGUUGACAAAGGGACAGGGGCAAUACGGGGGGAUGGUGGAACUGAACUAAAUGUAGGUAUGAUGGUGGUUACAUGAUUGUACAUGUUUGUCAGAACUCUUAGAACUGGACUUUCACUCCUGGGAGUAUGGAGUAAACAUAUUUUUCACUAAGUACAAUGAAAAACUCUGGGCUUUACACAUAAAACAAACAUAAGAAGACUCUAAAAGGUGAAGAAAAGCAAGCAGACUACCUAGAAACCUGGGGCCCCAAGGUACAAUACCAGAAGAUUGUGAUAAGUUGUGCAUAUAUAAUGUAACACUCAGAGCAACCACUUAAAAAACUAUAGAGAUAUGCUAAAAAAUAUUUUAGAAAAAUCAAUCAAAAUGAAGCUUUAAAAAAUGCUCAAGUAACCCACUUGAGACAGGAAAAAGAAACAAAAAGAAAGAACAUAAAGAAAACAAAAAAUAAAAAGGUAAGCUUAACCUCUAAUAUAUCAAUGAUUACAUUAAAUAUAAAUAGCAUAGAUAAACCCAUUAAAAGAUAGAGAUUAUCGAAGUAGAUUAUAAAAUAUGACUCCUAUGUUACUACAAGAAACUCACUUUGAAGGUAGUAAGUAAUAUAGGCGGGUUAAAAGUAAAAGGAUGAAAGAUAUAUCAUGCAACAUUAAUCAAAAGAAAAAAGGAAUAGCUAUGUUAAUAUCAGGUAAAAAAAGACUUCAGAGUAAAGAACAUUAAUAGAGACAGGGAAACUGCAUAAGGAUAAAAAGUUCAAUUCAACAAGAAGACAUAGCAAUCAUAAGUGAGAUGAAGGGGUAUUUCAACAAAGAGGAUACAGAGUGGAAAAUAAGCACCUAAAAAUUGGUCAGCAUGAUUAGCUAUUAGGGAAAUACAAAUUCCAAUCAUGGGGAUAUCAUUACAUACCUAUUGGAAUGACAACACCAAAAAUAUAGUGAAACAUAAAUGUUGGUAAAGAUACAGAGAAAUUGAAUCAUUCAUAGCUUUGCUAGUGCAAACAGUGAAUGGUGUAAUCACUCUGGCAAACAAUUUGGCAGACAGAGAAUGAAGAAAAAUGAAUAACUGAAAAGCUAAUGACCAGGAAUUUUUAAAAAAAUGAUGAAAAUAUUAAGCAACAGAUUUAGCAGGUGCUACAAAAAAACAGAAGAAAACAAAACAAAACCGAAAAACCAGGAUGAAUGCACAGCAAAGCACACCUAGGCACCUGUUGAAAACCAGUGACAAAGAAAAUUUAAAACACAGCAGAGAAAAAGACACCAUGAAAGGGGGAUCAAAGAUGUCAACCUGAUUCUACAAUAGAAAUACAGGAAAUCAAAAGACAAUGGAAUGACUUUAUCAAAUAGUAGAUGAAAGAGAAUCACACAAAAGUAACCAUAAGAAGCUGAAGUAGAAGCACCUGGGUGGCUCAGUUGGGUAAGUGUCCAACUCUUGAUCUCAGCUUAGGUCUUGAUCUCAGGGUCGAGUUCAAGCCCCACAUUGAAGGCUGAAGUAACAAUAUUAAUGUCAGACAAAAUAGAGUUUAAAAUAAGAACUAUUACCAAAGAUAAAGGAGACAUUUUAUAAUAAUACAGUAUCAGUAUAUCAGGAAGAUUUAAAAACUAUACAGCUAAAAAUGGAGACCCAUAACAUAUGAAGGAUAUAUUCUGAAAGAAAGAA